AUUGAACGCUGGCGGAUGCUUUACACAUGCAAGUCGAACGGCAGCAUAGGUGAUUGCACCUGAUGGCGAGUGGCGAACGGGUGAGUAAUACAUCGGAACGUGCCCAGUCGUGGGGGAUAACGUAGCGAAAGUUACGCUAAUACCGCAUACGAUCUACGGAUGAAAGCGGGGGACCGUAAGGCCUCGCGCGAUUGGAGCGGCCGAUGUCAGAUUAGGUAGUUGGUGAGGUAAAGGCUCACCAAGCCGACGAUCUUUAGCUGGUCUGAGAGGACGACCCGCCACACUGGGACUGAGACACGGCACAGAGUCAUACGGGAGGCAGCAGUAGGGAAUUUUGGACAAUGGACGCAAGUCUGAUCCAGCCAUUCCGCGUGCAGGACGAAGGCCUUCGGGUUGUAAACUGCUUUUGUACGGAACGAAAAAGCUCUUACUAAUACUAGGAGUCCAUUACGGUACCGUAAGAAUAAGCACCGGCUAACUACGUGCCAGCCGCCGCAGUAA
rnacentral:rRNA from 1 species